rnacentral:rRNA from 1 species
GCGAAAGCAUUCAUCAAUUACACACCCUUUAAUCAAGAACGAAAGUUAGAGUAGCAAAGGUCAUUAGAUGCAGCUGUAGUUUUAACCAUAAACGAUGACAUCUCAGGAUAUCAUCGAAAAUCUUUGCUUGUGUUUUGUGUUUGUGGUCAAACAUAAAUACAAAACAUGCUAAUGUAGAUUAUGUUCAUUGGGGCCAUUUUGGUAACAAAAUCCCCGUUUAGACCAAUGAUGCACUAUGUGGGAAACCAACAGCUGUCUUCGUGGAGUGUAUGUUAGCAAUGAUGAAAUUUAAAAGAAUUGACGGAAGAACUACCACCAGGGGUGGACUAUGCUGUUUAAUUUGACUCAACGCGGGAAAUUUUACCAGGGCAGGACACCGUGAGGAAAGACGAAUUGAAAAUUUUUCUUGAUUCUGUGAUUGUUAAAUGUAGUGCAUGGCCUUUGGGAAGUGAGUGGAUUG